rnacentral:rRNA from 1 species
UAGCCUUGACAUUGAUUGAACGGACCAGAGAUGGACCGGUGCCCUUCGGGGAGCAUGAAAACAGGUGCUGCACGGCUGUCGUCAGCUCGUGUCGUGAGAUGUUGGGUUAAGUCCCGCAACGAGCGCAACCCUCGUCCUUAUUUGCCAGCACAUCAUGGUGGGAACUAUAAGGAGACUGCCGGUGAUAAACCGGAGGAAGGCGGGGACGACGUCAAGUCAUCAUGGCCCUUACGACCAGGGCUACACACGUGCUACAAUGGGAAGGACAAAGGGUUGCUAAGCCGCGAGGUGGUGCUAAUCUCAUAAACCUUUUCGUAGUCCGGAUCGGAGUCUGCAACUCGACUCCGUGAAGUCGGAAUCGCUAGUAAUCGUGGAUCAGAACGCCACGGUGAAUACGUUCCCGGGUCU